rnacentral:rRNA from 1 species
UACGAAGGACCCGAGCGUUAUCCGGAUUUACUGGGUUUAAAGGGUGCGUAGGUGGACCUAUAAGUCAGUGGUGAAAUCCUGCAGCUUAACUGCAGAACUGCCAUUGAUACUGUUGGUCUUGAGUAUAGUUGAGGUAGGCGGAAUAUGUCAUGUAGUGGUGAAAUACUUAGAUAUGACAUAGAACACCGAUUGCGAAGGCAGCUUGCUAAGCUAUAACUGACACUGAUGCACGAAAGCGUGGGGAGCAAACAGG